rnacentral:rRNA from 1 species
GAGGAAUAUUGGUCAAUGGACGAGAGUCUGAACCAGCCAAGUAGCGUGAAGGAUGACUGCCCUAUGGGUUGUAAACUUCUUUUAUACGGGAAUAAAGUUAGCCACGUGUGGCUUUUUGUAUGUACCGUAUGAAUAAGGAUCGGCUAACUCCGUGCCAGCAGCCGCGGUAAUACGGAGGAUCCGAGCGUUAUCCGGAUUUAUUGGGUUUAAAGGGAGCGUAUGCGGGUUGUUAAGUCAGUUGUGAAAGUUUGCGGCUCAACCGUAAAAUUGCAGUUGAUACUGGCGACCUUGAGUGCAACAGAGGUAGGCGGAAUUCGUGGUGUAGCGGUGAAAUGCUUAGAUAUCACGAAGAACUCCGAUUGCGAAGGCAGCUUACUGGAUUGUAACUGACGCUGAUGCUCGAAAGUGUGGGUAUCAAACAGGAUUAGAUACCCUGGUAGUCCACACAGUAAACGAUGAAUACUCGCUGUUGGCGAUAUACGGUCAGCGGCCAAGCGAAAGCAUUAAGUAUUCCACCUGGGGAGUACGCCGGCAACGGUGAAACUCAAAGGAAUUGACGGGGGCCCGCACAAGCGGAGGAACAUGUGGUUUAAUUCGAUGAUACGCGAGGAACCUUACCCGGGCUUAAAUUGCAACUGACUGAACCGGAAACGGUUCUUUCUUCGGACAGUUGUGAAGGUGCUGCAUGGUUGUCGUCAGCUCGUGCCGUGAGGUGUCGGCUUAAGUGCCAUAACGAGCGCAACCCUUAUCGAUAGUUACUAGCAGGUCAUGCUGAGGACUCUAUUGAGACUGCCGUCGUAAGAUGUGAGGAAGGUGGGGAUGACGUCAAAUCAGCACGGCCCUUACGUCCGGGGCUACACACGUGUUACAAUGGGGGGUACAGAAGGCAGCUACAUGGCGACGUGGUGCUAAUCCCGAAAGCCUCUUUCAGUUUGGAUUGGAGUUUGCAACCCGACUCCAUGAAGCUGGAUUCGCUAGUAAUCGCGCAUCAGCCACGGCGCGGUGAAUACGUUCCCG